ACGAACGCUGGCGGCACGCUUAACACAUGCAAGUCGAACGAGAGAAGAGGAGCUUGCUUUUCUGAUCUAGUGGCGGACGGGUGAGUAACACGUGAGCAAUCUGCCUUUCAGAGGGGGAUACCGAUUGGAAACGAUCGUUAAUACCGCAUAACAUAAUUGAACCGCAUGAUUUGAUUAUCAAAGAUUUAUCGCUGAAAGAUGAGCUCGCGUCUGAUUAGCUAGUUGGUAAGGUAACGGCUUACCAAGGCGACGAUCAGUAGCCGGACUGAGAGGUUGAUCGGCCACAUUGGGACUGAGACACGGCCCAGACUCCUACGGGAGGCAGCAGUGGGGAAUAUUGCACAAUGGAGGAAACUCUGAUGCAGCGAUGCCGCGUGAGGGAAGAAGGUUUUAGGAUUGUAAACCUCUGUCUUCAGGGACGAAAAAAGACGGUACCUGAGGAGGAAGCUCCGGCUAACUACGUGCCAGCAGCCGCGGUAAUACGUAGGGAGCGAGCGUUGUCCGGAAUUACUGGGUGUAAAGGGAGCGUAGGCGGGAUCGCAAGUCAGAUGUGAAAACUAUGGGCUUAACCCAUAAACUGCAUUAGAAACUGUGGUUCUUGAGUGAAGUAGAGGUAAGCGGAAUUCCUAGUGUAGCGGUGAAAUGCGUAGAUAUUAGGAGGAACAUCAGUGGCGAAGGCGGCUUACUGGGCUUUAACUGACGCUGAGGCUCGAAAGCGUGGGGAGCAAACAGGAUUAGAUACCCUGGUAGUCCACGCCGUAAACGAUGAUUACUAGGUGUGGGGGGACUGACCCCUUCCGUGCCGCAGCAAACGCAAUAAGUAAUCCACCUGGGGAGUACGACCGCAAGGUUGAAACUCAAAGGAAUUGACGGGGGCCCGCACAAGCAGUGGAGUAUGUGGAUUAAUUCGAAGCAACGCGAAGAACCUUACCAGGUCUUGACAUCGUAUGCAUAGCUCAGAGAUGAGUGAAAUCUCUUCGGAGACAUAUAGACAGGUGGUGCAUGGUUGUCGUCAGCUCGUGUCGUGAGAUGUUGGGUUAAGUCCCGCAACGAGCGCAACCCUUACUGUUAGUUGCUACGCAAGAGCACUCUAGCAGGACUGCCGUUGACAAAACGGAGGAAGGUGGGGAUGACGUCAAAUCAUCAUGCCCCUUAUGACCUGGGCCUCACACGUACUACAAUGGCUGUCAACAGAGGGAUGCAAAGCCGCGAGGUGGAGCGAACCCCUAAAAGCAGUCUUAGUUCGGAUUGUAGGCUGCAACCCGCCUACAUGAAGUCGGAAUUGCUAGUAAUCGCAGAUCAGCAUGCUGCGGUGAAUACGUUCCCGGGCCUUGUACACACCGCCCGUCACGCCAUGGGAGUCGGUAACACCCGAAGCCUGUAGUCUAACCGCAAGGAGGACGCAGUCGAAGGUGGGAUUGAUGACUGGGGUG
rnacentral:rRNA from 1 species